UACGGAGGGUGCGAGCGUUGUCCGGAAUCAUUGGGCGUAAAGGGCGCGUAGGCGGGAUGGCAAGUCGGUCGUGAAAUCCCUGGGCUCAACUCAGGGGGGUCGGGCCGAUACUGCCGUUCUUGAGGGAUGCAGAGGAGACUGGAAUUCCCGGUGUAGCGGUGAAAUGUGUAGAGAUCGGGAGGAACACCGGUGGCGAAGGCGGGUCUCUGGGCAUUCCCUGACGCUGAGGCGCGAAAGCGUGGGGAGCAAACGGG
rnacentral:rRNA from 1 species